rnacentral:rRNA from 1 species
UAACCUGCCCAAGAGAUCGGGAUAANACCUGGAAACAGAUGCUAAUACCGGAUAACAACAGAUGAUGCCUAUCAACUGUUUAAAAGAUGGUUCUGCUAUCACUCUUGGAUGGACCUGCGGUGCAUUAGCUAGUUGGUAGGGUAACGGCCUACCAAGGCGAUGAUGCAUAGCCGAGUUGAGAGACUGAUCGGCCACAUUGGGACUGAGACACGGCCCAAACUCCUACGGGAGGCAGCAGAC